rnacentral:rRNA from 1 species
GGGGAAUUUUGGACAAUGGGCGCAAGCCUGAUCCAGCCAUGCCGCGUGCAGGAUGAAGGCCUUCGGGUUGUAAACUGCUUUUGUACGGAACGAAAAGGUUUCUUUUAAUACAGGGAACUGAUGACGGUACCGUAAGAAUAAGCACCGGCUAACUACGUGCCAGCAGCCGCGGUAAUACGUAGGGUGCGAGCGUUAAUCGGAAUUACUGGGCGUAAAGCGUGCGCAGGCGGUGAUGUAAGACAGAGGUGAAAUCCCCGGGCUCAACCUGGGAACUGCCUUUGUGACUGCAUCGCUGGAGUGCGGCAGAGGGGGAUGGAAUUCCGCGUGUAGCAGUGAAAUGCGUAGAUAUGCGGAGGAACACCGAUGGCGAAGGCAAUCCCCUGGGCCUGCACUGACGCUCAUGCACGAAAGCGUGGGGAGCAAACA